UGCAAGACGAACGGCAAGGUUGAUAGCAAUAUUGAUCCUAGAGUGUCGUAAGGGUGCGUAACACGUAUGCAAUCUACCCGAAACAGGAGGAUAGCUCCCCGAAAGGGGAAUUAACACUCCAUAAGAUCACAGGAUGGCAUCAUCUAGUGAUUAAAACUGAGGUGGUUUCGGAUGAGCAUGCGUUUGAUUAGUUAGUUGGCGGGGUAACGGCCCACCAAGACGAUGAUCAAUAGGGGAACUGAGAGGUUGAUCCCCCACACUGGCACUGAGAUACGGGCCAGACUCCUACGGGAGGCAGCAGUUGGGAAUCUUGGACAAUGGGGGAAACCCUGAUCCAGCCAUGCCGCGUGAGUGAUGAAGGCCUUCGGGUUGUAAAGCUCUUUUACCCGGGAAGAUAAUGACUGUACCGGGAGAAUAAGCUCCGGCUAACCUCGUGCCAGCAGCCGCGGUAAUACGAAGGGGGCUAGCGUUGUUCGGAAUUACUGGGCGUAAAGCGCGCGCAGGUGGUUUCUCAAGUCAGUGGUGAAAGCCCGGAGCUCAACUCCGGAACUGCCAUUGAAACUGUGGAACUUGAGGACGAGAGAGGUGAG
rnacentral:rRNA from 1 species